rnacentral:lncRNA from 1 species
AGCGAACAUGGAAGGCAUCAUUAAUCCGAGCUCCAGCCGGAAGGUCCAAUCUGUAUGCCACAAAUCUAAUGUAUUCAAGGACUUUGUACGGACCAUAGAACCUAGCGGCAAGCUUGCCAUAAGUCUGUCCUAGAACUGAUGUUAUUGGCCAUCGAUGUAGGCAUCAUGAUGGCAUCGAUGACGAAGAGGCUUAGCAAAGUCGGCGAGUUAGUUUCUGCUUUAAAGAUUGAUUGGUGAAGGACGACAGCGACGACACAAGUAAGUGCGUCGGACCGGUUUGUAUCCAGUAUGUGUCUUUGUUGAGUCAUUUGACUUUACAUGUUAGGCUUUGGUGUGAUGUUUAUUUGAUAUUAGGCUCGGACUAUCGGCACCCCUUCAUUAAAUGGAUAGGAGUAGCGACAUNAUAUUUCUAAAAUGAUGGCUUCAGACUAUCUAAUGUACUAUUUUGUAAUGUAUUUAUGAAUAAUUAAUAAAGUGAC